CGGCUUGGUCCUGCGGUCCCUUCUCUGGGAGGCCCGACCCCGGCCGCGCCCAGCCCCCACCAUGCCACCCGCGGGGCUCCGCCGGGCCGCGCCGCUCACCGCAAUCGCUCUGUUGGUGCUGGGGGCUCCCCUGGGUAAGGGGAUGGGGAGUGAUGCGGCAGGGGUGGGAUGGGGGCGGAGGAAGGGGAGGGGCCGAUCCGAGGGGCUUGGGCUCGGGGCUUCUCCGAGACCCUCCGGCUGCCACGGGAGCCUUGGGUGUUGCUGGGUCCUCAAGAAGCGGGAAGAGGGAGCGCCAGGAUGCUGGGCCAUGGGAGGCUGAUCCCGGGGUGCAGGGUCAGCUUCAGGCAGAGGCCUCUGGGGCCCUGGGGCUGAGACCCUCAGGGUGGAGAUAAGGGGCAACCCUCAGUGUUCGGGAGCCAGCAGGCUGGGGACCGCCGGGGGAGUGGGGCCGAGCGCGGCUGGGGAUGAACUGGCCUGGUGGCCACUGGGCACCCCCAAUCCCUGCCGCAGCGCUGGCCGGCGAGGACUGCCUGUGGUACCUGGACCGGAAUGGCUCCUGGCAUCCGGGGUUUAACUGCGAGUUCUUCACCUUCUGCUGCGGGACCUGCUACCAUCGGUACUGCUGCAGGGACCUGACCUUGCUCAUCACCGAGAGGCAGCAGAAGCACUGCCUGGCCUUCAGUCCCAAGACCAUAGCAGGCAUCGCCUCAGCUGUGAUCCUC
rnacentral:sRNA from 1 species